rnacentral:rRNA from 1 species
AUUGAACGCUGGCGGCAGGCCUAACACAUGCAAGUCGAACGAGUGGCGGACGGGUGAGUAAUGUAUGGGAAUCUGCCCUAUGGAGGGGGAUAACUACGGGAAACUGUAGCUAAUACCGCAUACUAUCGGAUGAGCCCAUGUGGGAUUAGCUAGUAGGUGGGGUAAAGGCUCACCAAGGCGACGAUCUCUAGCUGGUCUGAGAGGAUGACCAGCCACACUGGGACUGAGACACGGCCCAGACUCCUACGGGAGGCAGCAGUGGGGAAUAUUGCGCAAUGGGGGCAACCCUGACGCAGCCAUGCCGCGUGAAUGAAGAAGGCCUUCGGGUUGUAAAGUUCUUUCGGUAGCGAGGCGUUAACUACAGAAGAAGCACCGGCUAACUCCGUGCCAGCAGCCGCGGUAAUAC